AACCUUAUGGACCUGCGGGCGUAUACCUGCGGAAGGAUCAUUACAAGUGACCCCGGUCUAACCACCGGGAUGUUCAUAACCCUUUGUUGUCCGACUCUGUUGCCUCCGGGGCGACCCUGCCUUCGGGCGGGGGCUCCGGGUGGACACUUCAAACUCUUGCGUAACUCUGCAGUCUGAGUAAACUUAAUUAAUAAAUUAAAACUUUCAACAAUGGAUCU
rnacentral:misc_RNA from 1 species